rnacentral:misc_RNA from 1 species
UGAACUUGUUGGGGGAAACCAAGGGAAUGCUAUGGCGGCUGCUUGUGCUGUUGAGAUGAUACAUACUAUGUCUCUAAUUCAUGAUGAUUUGCCUUGUAUGGAUGACGACGAUCUCCGCCGUGGAAAGCCGACGAAUCAUAAAGUGUACGGUGAGGAUGUGGCGGUCCUCGCCGGAGAUGCGCUACUUGCUUUCGCAUUCGAG